AUUGAACGCUGGCGGCAUGCCUUACACAUGCAAGUCGAACGGCAGCACGGACUUCGGUCUGGUGGCGAGUGGCGAACGGGUGAGUAAUGUAUCGGAACGUACCUUUCAGUGGGGGAUAACGUAGCGAAAGUUACGCUAAUACCGCAUAUUCUGUGAGCAGGAAAGCAGGGGAUCGCAAGACCUUGCGCUGAUUGAGCGGCCGAUAUCAGAUUAGCUAGUUGGUGGGGUAAAGGCCUACCAAGGCUACGAUCUGUAGCGGGUCUGAGAGGAUGAUCCGCCACACUGGAACUGAGACACGGUCCAGACUCCUACGGGAGGCAGCAGUGGGGAAUUUUGGACAAUGGGCGCAAGCCUGAUCCAGCCAUGCCGCGUGCGGGAAGAAGGCCUUCGGGUUGUAAACC
rnacentral:rRNA from 1 species